CUGGCCGAGCGCCGAGCGCGGCGGACCCGUGCGCGGACCUGGACGCACACCCGCAUCGCGCCUCGCCGGGCCCAAGUCCUCCCCUCCCCUCCUCCAUCCUCCCGGUACCCGCAGACCUGGGAGCGUCGGUCUGAAGAAGAAGUGCCCAAGAGAUUUUUGUCGUGUGAUUUCACAAAAGAGACUGAGAUGUCAGGCUCCUCACCGUUUAAGAUGCGCCUUGUUCAUUUGGACCUUAAAGGAGCCCCGCCAAAGGUCUCAUACCUCGCGGAGGUGUUUCCUCUAUUCCAUGCCCUGGGCGCAAACGGCCUCCUCAUUGAGUAUGAAGACAUGUUCCCCUACGAGGGCCACCUGAGGCUGCUGAGGGCCCAGCACGCAUACAGCCCCUCUGAAAUCAAAGAGAUCCUGCAUCUGGCCACAGUGAACGAGCUAGAGGUUGUUCCCUUGGUACAGACAUUCGGACACAUGGAGUUUGUGCUGAAGCACGAGGCUCUUGCUCACCUCCGAGAAGUGGCAUUUUUCCCCAACACCCUGAACCCCCAUGAGGCGGAGUCCCUGGCCCUCGUCGGAGCCAUGAUAGACCAGGUCAUGGAGCUGCAUCCGGGUGCCCGGUGGCUCCAUGUGGGAUGUGACGAGGUGUAUUACCUUGGAGAGGGCGAGGCCUCGCGGCAGUGGCUGCAGCAGGAGCAGAACACCAAAGCCAGACUGUGCCUGUCCCAUGUGAAGGCGGUGGCCAGCCAUGUGCUGGCCCGACACCCCACCACGAAGCCCCUGGUGUGGGACGACAUGCUGCGGGACAUCCCCGAGGACCAGCUCUCAGCGUCAGGGGUGCCACAGCUGGUGGAGCCCAUGCUCUGGGACUACACGGCCGACCUGGAUGUCCACAGCAAGGCCCUCCUCAUGGAAAAGUAUCGGAAGUGUGGUUUUCGGCAGCUCUGGGCUGCCAGUGCCUUCAAAGGGGCCACGGGGGUGAGCCAGGCCCUGACACCUAUCGAGCACCAUCUCAGGAACCACAGGCAGUGGCUGCAGGUGGCUGCCCACGGGCCAGCAGACACGCUGCAGGGCAUUGUCCUGACCGGCUGGCAGAGGUACGACCACUUCUCCGUGCUGUGCGAGCUGCUGCCCGUGGGGAUCCCGUCCCUGGCCGUCUGUCUGCAGUCGCUCCUACAGGGAGGCUUUUCCGAAGAUGUUAAAGCAAGAGUGGAGAACUUCCUUGGAAUUCCGAGCCUGGAAAUCACCGGUUUCCCCAGUGAGGGGGCUGCCUCCUUCCCUGGCAGCGACAUCCUGGCCCUCGUCACGCAAGUUGGCCUCCACCUACGCAGCUCCGUGGACGAGAUGCUCCACAGGAACAGGUACGUGACCGGCUGGUUCAGCUCCUACCAUCGCAGGCGGAAGCUCGUCCACCCAGUCAUGAUCCAGCACAUCCAGCCCCAGGCCCUCAGAUGAAGGAAACGGACCCUACCUGGAACAGGAGAGCCUCCACCGCACAGCCAUGGCCUACUUCAGUGGUCUCCAAAGUGGGAUGAGCAAGAUCUGUGAGAUACUGGAAGAAGAUACUAGAGCUUGCGUUCCUAUUUAUUUUUCUUUCAAUAUCUAUUUUUACAUGUUUUGUAAUUUACAUAGUUUAAUACAAUAGUGUAUAAUAUUGCCUCAUAAAAAAUAUACAUACAUCAGUAUGUAUAAUCCUAGCAGUUUUACCAAUAUACGGACACGAUAAAAAUUUUGGAGACAACUUUUCUCCUUUACCAGUCGACUUCGGAUACUCUCUGCCUGUGGUUCCUAACCCUAAACGUGCCUCAGAAUCACCUGGUGGGCUUGUUGAAAUACAGACUGCUGGGCCCUAUUCCCAGAAGUGGGUGGGACCUGUAAACUUAGAUGUUGCUGAUACUUCUGGUCCAGGAAUCACACCUUGAGAACCUCUGCUGUAAGCUGCAGCAAUACUGGGCUCUGCCUGAACACGUGUGAUGUUAAGCUUUGUCAAUAGAGGGUGAUGGAUAGACACUGCAGGAAGAAGACCUUUUCUUCUUGGUUCUUGGAGAAAAGACUGAUUUCGGAUCUGAAGCAAAAAAUGAACAAGGAAAUGUAUCAAAAAGCAGAGAGACUAUUAGUGUCUUAUUAGAAGAACUUCAGAGCCUAACUGAAGAGAUUCUCAUUGCUGAAAAAAGAUAAGUAUUUGAGCAACAAUAAGCAUAAUUAGAAUGAAUUGAAAAUACUCAUGUAUUUAAGUACAUCAUUCAUCAUAAUGGAAUUUUUUUGUUCACUUUUGAAAGAUGAUGAGAAACAAACUUGGUCUUUUUGACCAGUUAAUGAAGGAAAAGAAUCAAGCAUUUAUCCUGCCUUUCUUUAUAAACUUUACAACGGAGAAACCAAACAGUGGAGAAGAAUUUCUCAUUAUAGAAGUAUUCCCUCUAAUAAAUGAAGAACAAAUGGUAGGAUUUAAAUAUCACCCUAAUGGAUGGAUGGGUGGGUGGAUUAAUCGAGCUAGGCAAUUUCAUCAAUGGCUGGUAAUUAACAUCACAAAAAGUAGAAACUCCUCAUGGAAUUACACAACUGGCAUCUAUGAAGUAGUCUUGCCAAAAAAAAAAAAAAAAAAUUUAACCUAGGAUCAAGCCACUAGAACGUUCCAAUUACCCUUUACUGUAAAUUCAGAGGGCAAAGGUAUACUAAAGGACUCCAGGAGGAUGCAGUCAGUAAUUGCAAGAAACCCUAGGUGAACAAUCUGAUUUCUUGAAUGGAACCUACACAUGUAAAACAAAACAAAGAUACAGACUUAAGACACAGAUUUCUCUGUACUAUCUGCACCUUCUAAGUGAUCCUCAAGUUAUUUCAGAACAAAACGACUUUUUUUUUAAAAAAAGAGAGACUUAAGAAAUACAAAAACAAAUUGUAAUAUAGACUAUUAGAACAUAUUGGACCUUGUUUAGAUCCCAAUUUAAACUAAAAAAAAGAAUUUGAUUGGGGAAACCUGGACACUAUAUUUUUGAUUAAAUUAAGUAAGUGUAAUUUGCUUUUUUC